rnacentral:ncRNA from 1 species
UAUAGGUUUGGUCCCAGCCCUUCUAUUGUCUGCUAGCAAAACUACACAUGCAAGUAUCAGCCUCCCAGUGAGAAUGCCCUACAAAUCAUCAACCAUGAUAGACAGGAGCAGGUAUCAAGCACACUAUACAAGUAGCUCACAACACCUUGCUCAACCACACCCCCACGGGAAACAGCAGUGAUAAAAAUUAAGCAAUAAACGAAAGUUUGACUAAGUUAUGUCUACUUAAGGGUUGGUAAAUUUCGUGCCAGCCACCGCGGUCAUACGAUUAACCCUAGUCAAUAGAUACACGGCGUAAAGAGUGUUUAAGGAACAUCUGUAUAAAGUCAAACUAUAGCUAUGCCGUAAAAAGCUACAGCUAUUGUAAGCCCCAGUACGAAAGUAACUUUAAAAUACCUGAGUACACUAUAGCUAAGACCCAAACUGGGAUUAGAUACCCCACUAUGCUUAGCCCUAAACCUAAAGAGUUAUUCUAACAAAGCUCUUCGCCAGAGUACUACUAGCCAAAGCUUAAAACUCAAGGGACUUGGCGGUGCUUUACAUCCCUCUAGAGGAGCCUGUUCUAUAAUCGAUAAACCCCGAUAAACCUCACCAACCCUUGCUAACUCAGCCUAUAUACCGCCAUCUUCAGCAAACCUUAAAAAAGAAUUACAGUAAGCCAAAUUAUAUAUACGUAAAAACGUUAGGUCAAGGUGUAGCCUAUGGGUUGGAAAGAAAUGGGCUACAUUUCCUAUACCUAGGAUACUAUUCCUACACGAAAAUCCCUAUGAAACUAAGGAUAUAAAGGUGGAUUUAGCAGUAAACUAAGAAUAGAGAGCUUAGUUGAAUAAGGCCAUAAAGCACGCACACACCGCCCGUCACCCUCCUCAAGUACAUAAAGGUAUUACCCAAUCCUAUUAUCACUUACCACAGCUACCAGAGGAGAUAAGUCGUAACAAGGUAAGCGUACUGGAAAGUGCGCUUGGACAACC